rnacentral:rRNA from 1 species
ACGAACGCUGGCGGCGCGCCUAACACAUGCAAGUCGAACGGAGAUUACAGGCGGAAGUUUUCGGAUGGAAGCUUGUAAACUUAGUGGCGGACGGGUGAGUAACACGUGAGCAACCUGCCUAUCAGAGGGGGAUAACGAUUGGAAACGAUCGCUAAUACCGCAUGACAUAGCGGAACCGCAUGGUUCUGUUAUCAAAGAUUUAUCGCUGAUAGAUGGGCUCGCGUCCGAUUAGAUAGUUGGUGGGGUAACGGCCUACCAAGUCGACGAUCGGUAGCCGGACUGAGAGGUCGAACGGCCACAUUGGGACUGAGACACGGCCCAGACUCCUACGGGAGGCAGCAGUGGGGGAUAUUGCACAAUGGGGGAAACCCUGAUGCAGCGACGCCGCGUGAGGGAAGACGGUCCUCUGGAUUGUAAACCUCUGUCUUCGGGGACGAAACGAGACGGUACCCGAGGAGGAAGCCACGGCUAACUACGUGCCAGCAGCCGCGGUAAUACGUAGGUGGCAAGCGUUGUCCGGAAUUACUGGGUGUAAAGGGAGCGUAGGCGGGCAGGCAAGUCAGGCGUGAAAUAUAUCGGCUCAACCGGUAACGGCGCUUGAAACUGCAGGUCUUGAGUGAAGUAGAGGUUGGCGGAAUUCCUAGUGUAGCGGUGAAAUGCGUAGAUAUUAGGAGGAACACCAGUGGCGAAGGCGGCCAACUGGGCUUUUACUGACGCUGAGGCUCGAAAGUGUGGGGAGCAAACAGGAUUAGAUACCCUGGUAGUCCACACAGUAAACGAUGAAUACUCGCUGUUUGCGAUAUACAGUAAGCGGCCAAGCGAAAGCAUUAAGUAUUCCACCUGGGGAGUACGCCGGCAACGGUGAAACUCAAAGGAAUUGACGGGGGCCCGCACAAGCAGUGGAGUAUGUGGUUUAAUUCGACGCAACGCGAAGAACCUUACCAGGUCUUGACAUCGUAUGCAUAGUGUAGAGAUACACGAAGUCCUUCGGGACAUACAGACAGGUGGUGCAUGGUUGUCGUCAGCUCGUGUCGUGAGAUGUUGGGUUAAGUCCCGCAACGAGCGCAACCCUUGUAUUUAGUUGCUACGCAAGAGCACUCUAGAUAGACUGCCGUGGACAACACGGAGGAAGGUGGGGAUGACGUCAAAUCAUCAUGCCCCUUAUGACCUGGGCUACACACGUACUACAAUGGCAAUAGAACAGAGGGAAGCGACUCAGCGAUGAGAAGCAGAUCCCGAAAAAUUGUCUCAGUUCGGAUUGCAGGCUGCAACCCGCCUGCAUGAAGUCGGAAUUGCUAGUAAUCGCGGAUCAGCAUGCCGCGGUGAAUACGUUCCCGGGCCUUGUACACACCGCCCGUCACACCAUGGGAGUCGGUAACACCCGAAGCCCGUAGCCUAACAGCAAUGAGGGCGCGGUCGAAGGUGGGAUUGAUGACUGGGGUG